UACGUAGGGUGCAGGCGUUAAUCGGAAUUACUGGGCGUAAAGCGUGCGCAGGCGGUUUGCUAAGACAGGUGUGAAAUCCCCCAGGCUUAACCUGGGAACUGCGCUUGUUACUGGCAGGCUUGAGUGUGGCAGAGGGGGGUGGAAUUCACGUGUAGCAGUGAAAUGCGUAGAGAUGUGGAGGAACACCGGUGGCGAAGGCGGCGACCUGGUCCUUGACUGACGCUGAGGCGCGAAAGCGUGGGGAGCAAACAGG
rnacentral:rRNA from 1 species